AGAAAGUGCAAUAUGGCUAGCACUGAAGGCCAGUCAGUUUAACUCUCAGUGUACCCCUUAAGGAGAAGCUCUCAUUUGUUUCCUUAAUUAAUAUUUUAAGGGAAGUGAGAAUCACAAAACACAUUACUCAAUCACUUAAGAAGUUCCUUGGCUUAGAAUUAAAGAUGCUCCAGGAAAGACUUUUUAUACCUGAAAACUUUGAAUCUCUACCUAGAAAAAAGUCUUAAAGCCGGUGAAUAAAGUGGCUUAGGAAGAUGAGUGUAAGGCCAUUAUCAUGGACUUUUUCCCCAGCUGCAGAGGUCAAAGUUUGGAGUGCAACUAGAGAGGUUAGCUGUUCACUUUUCCCAGACCGCCUGGCUUCUCAUAGCUUAAUCUCUGGGCACAGCUGCUGUGAGCACACAGUCCCUGGGACUCAUAUCUUGCCCCGCUCCUGGCCUGAUGACAAGACUGGGAGGAACUGUGGGCAGGGUUAUCUACAACUCCGGGUUGAAGUCAAAGAUUGGAAGAGGAUGGCCUCUGAUCCUGGAACUGCAUUGCUUGGUGGUCAGGAGGGGCUCUUAGUAAGCAAACUCAGUUUAAUCCCAGAGUCGGAAGUGGGUGUCAACAAGCCAAAGCAACAUCCUUUCAGCUCUGCUGCUUUUUUGUCUUGGUGGAGGAAUAGCCAAUGGAAGAAGAUGGAGAGUCCGGACCAAAAAAAAAAAAAAAAAAAAAAAAAAAAAGAUGAGACUAAUCUUAUACUCAAUAUGGAAGAUAAUCAUAACUCAUCACUCUGGAUUAUAACUGCUUACAUAUGUCUUUCUUAUGAGAUAAUGCACCUUGAAGGCUCAGAAGGAACACAAAGACAGAGACAAAUGGUUCUUGGGUCCUGCCCUCAAGGCACUUACAGUCCAGUUUCAGUUUUAGAAGUUCAACCAAGAACAUGGCUAAUGGCUGGUAGAGAUUGUACUGAGUAUUAUACCACUUCUCCUAAAAUAUUAUUUUGGUUGAAAUAAUAAAAUGUAGAUUCAAAACAAAAUAA
rnacentral:antisense_RNA from 1 species